rnacentral:rRNA from 1 species
UACGUAGGGUGCAAGCGUUUAAUCGGAAUACUGGGCGUAAAGCGUGCGCAGGCGGUUGUGCAAGACAGAUGUGAAAUCCCCGGGCUCAACCUGGGAAUUGCAUUUGUGACUGCACGGCUAGAGUGUGUCAGAGGGGGGGUAGAAUUCCACGUGUAGCAGUGAAAUGCGUAGAGAUGUGGAGGAAUACCGAUGGCGAAGGCAGCCCCCCUGGGAUAACACUGACGCUCAUGGCACGAAAGCGUGGGGAGCAAACAGG